GACGAACGCUGGCGGCGUGCUUAAUACAUGCAAGUCGAGCGAGAAGCCACCGCUCCGUAAGGAGUGGUGGUGGAAAGCGGCGAACGGGUGAGUAACACGUGGAUAACGUGCCCCAGACUCUGGGAUAACAGCGGGAAACCGCUGCUAAUACCGGAUGACCCUGCAGCGUCGCAUGACGCAGUAGGCAAAGCUCCGGCGGUCUGGGAUCGGUCCGCGGCCUAUCAGCUUGUUGGUGGGGUAGCGGCCUACCAAGGCAGUGACGGGUAGCUGGCGUGAGAGCGCGACCAGCCACACUGGGACUGAGACACGGCCCAGACUCCUACGGGAGGCAGCAGUAGGGAAUCUUGCGCAAUGGGCGAAAGCCUGACGCAGCGACGCCGCGUGAGCGAUGAAGGCCCUCGGGUUGUAAAGCUCUUUCAGCAGGGACGAAAUUGACGGUACCUGCAGAAGAAGGUCCGGCCAACUACGUGCCAGCAGCCGCGGUAACG
rnacentral:rRNA from 1 species